rnacentral:misc_RNA from 1 species
GGAUUUAAUGUCUUUAUUUGAUGUGUUUAUGUUUAUUAUUUAAUUGUUUAUCUUAGUUUAGUUUUAUCUUUAAAUAUCUAUUCAUUUUAAGAAAUUUACAAUUUUUUAAAAAAAAUUUGUAUAGGGAUAGGCCAUUACCGUUACUUACAAGCUUAUUUCCGUUAUCUGUGACUGUGAUUUAAAUCCAUGCUACCCAUAAUUAAUGCAUUCCCACUUAUUGCCACACCAGUGGACCAUCAGUUGCCACCUCAUUUGACAAUGCCACGACACCACAUCAGUAACCCUUCGACAUCAACAAUUUUUGGCAGAACUGUACCCCAUUAAUUCUGAUAUUUGAAGAACAAUCGUAAAUCCAAAUUGUGUUUUAAUGAGAUUUUAUUUAUCCGAAAUUUAAAGAUUACAAGUUGAAAUCGAUGACUAUUAAGGUUCAAUUAGAUGACAUAUGUUAUUUGAAAGAUUCUUACAUUGUGUUGAAUAUUGUCCUCCUAACUUAUU